CAAGUUCAAGCUCAAACCAGUGCGCAACGUUUUGCUAUGGUUUCCGAUUUGAAAGACGUGUUUCCUGGAAACGGUUUAUGAGGCAGAUG